GGGGGCCCCGCUCGGAGGGAAGGCUGAGGAAUCACGUCCACAUUUCACUCCAGAUCGUCCCGUCGUGCAGGAGACGGGGCAGGGAAAUGGCUGUGAUGGAGCCAGCUCAGAUGCCGGUGAGCUUCGAGGAGGUGGCUGUGUAUUUCACCCAGGGGCAGGGGGCUCUGCUGGACCCCGCUCAGAGAGCCCUCUACAGGGACGUCAUGCAGGACAACUAUGAGACAGUGACCUCGCUGGGUAAGCGAUUCCUGUCCCCUCAGUUAGUCAAAGCCGUGCAGCCCUUUAACGGGACAGUGUGGUCGCACGCCAGCACUGGGACAGAGCUGGUAAACCACCUCCAUGAGCAAGUUUCAGCGCAGUAACUUGCUAUUGUAGACAAGGCCUUAGUAGUGUAUCUCAUAAGUGUGCAUCUGUACACACUGUGUGGCUAGUGCUGUUGUGCUGUUAAUUUCAGACACACCAAAUACAUUUAUAUUGAGAGAUGUUUUCAAGACUUGGGCUUGCUUUAAUUGGAGCUCCACACUUCUUAUUCCUUGCUUCAAUAAUGUACCAAAAAUAUUGUGUCACGUGUCUGUGUAGCCCUCAAAAUCUUACCCAAGGCUGACAUUUCUCCUUGUAAUGUCUCAAUAUCAGAUGAACUUAAAACUCCAGUUCCAGCACCAAUUGCCACCACAAUGUAUUCUCUUAUGCCUCUUUUAUUUUGUAUAGUCCCGUCUCCCCAUGGUUGUCGCCAAGCAUGUAAUAGAGGUAAGGCAUAUGGCAUACACUGCAGAUGUUGUGCACUCAUGUUUAUUUGAGUUCUUUCCAACCGGAUUGUUUGGUCCACAAUAGUUGGGGCUUCAAUUAUUUCUCCCCUUCGAUAUGGGUGUUCAUCUGCCAUAAUUCUUGGUGCAAUCUUAUAUCCCUGAAAAUAUCCUCCCUCAUUAAUUUUCCUAAAGCAACUCAGUCUUAUCAUUAUGGAAAAAUCCACCAUCAUAUCAUAUUCCCAUAAUUUGAGAGCCAUUGACUCAUUCCAUCCCACAUGAAUAUUAGCCCAUUCUUGUUCAUGAGUCACGUCUAAGGUGACUACAUCAAAUCCCAAACUCCAAAAGAUACAGUUCAGAGUGCUCACGUUCAGACUAUUUUCAUCAUAACUACAUCUAAACAUUAGUCGACCUUCCUCUCUUAGUAUGAACAAAUAUCUCCAUUGCUCUUCCAAAUUGGUUGUAGUAUUUCCAUCUCACAUUUUUUCCAUCUUCCCACCAUAUUUUAAAUUUUACCUCAAAAGGUUUCUCUUCACAUAUGGUUUUGUUUGGUCCUGUUUUUUCCAUUCUGUCCCAGGAGUAGUCAAAUGUGUUAUCUCCUU